UACGUAGGUGGCAAGCGUUGUCCGGAAUUACUGGGCGUAAAGAGUUCGUAGGUGGUUUGUCGCGUUGUUCGUGAAAACUCACAGCUUAACUGUGGGCGUGCGGGCGAUACGGGCAGACUUGAGUACUGCAGGGGAGACUGGAAUUCCUGGUGUAGCAGUGAAAUGCGUAGAUAUCAGGAGGAACACCGAUGGCGAAGGCAGGUCUCUGGGCUGACACUGACGCUCAUGCACGAAAGCGUGGGGAGCAAACAGG
rnacentral:rRNA from 1 species